GAUGAACGCUAGCGGCAGGCCUAACACAUGCAAGUCGAGGGAGAAGCCCUUUCGGGGGCAGAAACCGGCGCACGGGUGCGUCACGCGUAUGCAACCUACCUUUCACAGGGGGAUAGCCCGAAGAAAUUUGGAUUAAUACCCCAUAAUAUUAUUGGAUGGCAUCAUUUGAUAAUUAAAACUGCGGUGGUGAAAGAUGGGCAUGCGUCCUAUUAGCUAGUUGGAGUGGUAACGGCACCCCAAGGCUACGAUAGGUAGGGGUCCUGAGAGGGAGAUCCCCCACACUGGUACUGAGACAGGGACCAGACUCCUACGGGAGGCAGCAGUGAGGAAUAUUGGUCAAUGGUCGGAAGACUGAACCAGCCAUGCCGCGUGCAGGAAGAAUGCCUUAUGGGUGGUAAACUGCUUUUAUAUGGGAAGAAUAAGGCGUACGUGUACGUUGAUGACGGUACCAUAUGAAUAAGCAUCGGCUAACUCCGUG
rnacentral:rRNA from 1 species